UCAAAUCUAAGAAAAUAGUAAGAUCUUCCAAGUUGUUGGAACUGGUUCAUAUGGAUCUCUGUAGUCCAAUGAGAGCCAUGCGCAUAGGUGGUAAAAGAUAUGUCAUGGUGCUGGUUGAUGAUUUCUCUAGAUUUACCUGGGUGCUAUUGCCAGUCUAAAUCAAUUGAACAAAUUAGUAUCCAAAGACUUGGUGAUAGGGUUACCUAAUAUCACUUUUAAGGAAGACAAAGUUUGUGAGGCAUGUGCAAGGCGGGAAAUAGUUAAGGUCAUCAUUCAAACCCAAGAAAAUGGUACAUCCAAGACGUUUGAAUUGGUUCAUAUGGAUCUAUGUGGUCCAAUAAGAGCCAUGAGCAGAGGUGGUAAAAGAUAUGUUAUGGUGCUUGUUGAUGAUUAUUCUAGAUUUACCUUGGUGCUGUUUCUAACUUCUAAAGAUGAAGCAUUUGAGAUGUUCAUAGAUUUUGUUAGAAAAAUCAAGAAACAAUUAGGAAAUCAACUUGCAUCUAUUAGGUCUGACCAUGGAACUGAAUUUGAAAUGCAAAGUUUGCUGAAUUUUGUGAUGAAAAUGGAAUAUAUCAUAAUUUCUCUGCCCCUAGAACUCCUAAGCAAAAUGGGGUAGUUGAAAGGAAGAAUAUGACCCUUGAGGAUAUGGCAAGGAGUAUGUUACUUUCCAGUAAACUACCUCGUAGCUUUUGGGUAGAGGCAAUAAAUACAACAUGCUACAUAAUAAACAGGUGUAUGUCCAGACCACUGGUAGAGAAAACUCCCUAUGAGUUGCUUAUAGGGAGAAAACCAAAAUAUCCACCUAAGGGCGUUUGGUUGCAAGUGCUAUGUGCGCAAUAAUGGCAAAGAUUCCCUUGGUAAGUUUGAUACUAGAAGUGAUGAGGGAGUAUGAUUGGGAUAUUCUCCACAUAGAAAAACUUAUAAGGUAUUGAAUAAAAGAACUCUAUGUGUAGAAGAAAGUGUACAUAUUAUUUUUGAUGAAACUAACUCUUUCUGAGAGACAGGAACAUGAAGAUGAAGCCAUUUGACUAGUGAGACAGCUGACUGAAGCUACCACACAGGUUAAGGAGGCAUCCAAGGAAUAUAUAGGUGAUGGAAUAGGUCCUUUUACGCUGGGAAACCUGACAGGGGGAACAAAUUUGAGAUACAAAAUUCUCUAAAUGAACCUGUACCUGAACUUGUGCCUCUACAACAUAACAACGAAGGAGAAGCUAUCAGAAACCAGCUGGUGGGAAAAUCUCACAGGUACUUGAGUUCUCACCCCAUUGAGAACAUAAUCAAUGAUCCC
rnacentral:lncRNA from 1 species